GAUGAAGAACGCAGCGAAAUGCGAUACGUAAUGUGAAUUGCAGAAUUCAGUGAAUCAUCGAAUCUUUGAACGCAUAUUGCGCUCUCUGGUAUUCCGGAGAGCAUGCUUGUUUGAGUAUCAGUAAACACCUCAACUCCCCUUUCUUUUUUUGAAAUGGGAGCUGGACUUGAGUGAUCCCAACGCUUUUCUCACCGAAAAGUGGCGGGUUACUUGGAAUGCAGGUGCAGCUGGACUUUUCUCUGAGCUAAAAGCAUAUCUAUUUAGUCUGCCUAAAAAACAGAUUAUUACCUUUGCUGCAGCUAACAUAAAGGAGAUUAGUUCUUGUGCUGACUGAUGCAGGAUUCACAGAGACAGCUUCGGCUGGCCUUUGUAAACUCGAUCUCAAAUCAAGUAAGACUACCCGCUGAACUUAAGCAUAUCAAUAAGCGAGGA
rnacentral:misc_RNA from 1 species